rnacentral:lncRNA from 1 species
CCAGGUGAGAGAAUGGGGGUUCGGCGGUGCUGGUUUGGGGUAAAACAACACAGAAUGCUGACAGAUCAAAAUGGAAGAAUGACAAUUUAUGAAACGAUUUUUAAUAACUUACCGUGGAGCAUUUGUACAACAAUUGAUUCGUUUUUAAGAAGUUAUUUCUUUUUACGACACCUUCUGAAUCAGUUCUUCAUACAAGCAAAAUAACCGUGUAU